UCUCAUGGAUCAGAAAAGAAAGUGGUUUCUUGAGAUGGAAUCUACUCCUGAUGAAGAUGCUGUGAA
rnacentral:pre_miRNA from 1 species